rnacentral:rRNA from 1 species
UACGUAGGGUCCAAGCGUUAUCCGGAAUUACUGGGCGUAAAGAGUUGCGUAGGUGGCAUAGUAAGUCAGUAGUGAAAUGACGAGGCUCAACCUUGUGUCCAUUACUGAAACUGCUAAGCUAGAGAAUAUAAGAGGUAGCUGGAAUUCCCUGUGUAGGAGUGAAAUCCGUAGAUAUAGGGAGGAACACCGAUGGCGUAGGCAGGCUACUGGUAUAUUUCUGACACUAAGGCACGAAAGCGUGGGGAGCAAACGGG